CUAAUGAUAAAAAAUCUACAUCAGGAUAUAUGUUCAUAUAUAAUAGUGGUGCAGUCAGCUGGAAGAGUUUCAAGUAACUCAUCAUAGCAGAUUCGACCACAGAUGCUGAAUAUGCAUUGCUUCAGAUGCUGCAAAGGAAGGCAUCUAGUUCCAAAAAUUUAUUGCGAAACUUGAGGUUAUGACAUCAGAUGCCACACCACUUUACUGCAACAAUAAUGGAGCCAUAGCACUUACUAAGGAGCUG
rnacentral:lncRNA from 1 species